rnacentral:rRNA from 1 species
CCUACGUGAGGCAGCAGUAGGGAAUCUUCCACAAUGGACGAAAGUCUGAUGGAGCAACGCCGCGUGAGUGAAGAAGGGUUUCGGCUCGUAAAGCUCUGUUGGUAGUGAAGAAAGAUAUAGGUAGUAACUGGCCUUUAUUUGACGUUAAUUACUUAGAAAGUCACGGCUAACUACGUGCCAGCAGCCGCGGUAAUACGGAGGUGGCAAGCGUUGACCGGAUUUAUUGGGCGUAAAGCGCGUGCAGGCGGUUCAAUAAGUCUGAUGUGAAAGCCUUCGGCUCAACCGGAGAAUUGCAUCAGAUACUGUUGAACUUGAGUGCAGAAGAGGGGAGUAGAACGCCAGGUGUAGCGGUGGAAUGCGUAGAUAUAUGGAAGAACACCAGUGGCGAAGGCGGCUCUCUGGUCGGCAACUGACGCUGAGGCUCGAAAGCAUGGGUAGCGAACAGGAUUAGAUACCCGGGUAGUC